rnacentral:lncRNA from 10 species
UUGACGACUAAAGCUGAGCCGGCGCCGCCACGACCUUGGGCGGGUGGUCGGCCUCUGCCCUGAGCAGGAAGUAGAAAGUCUCAGCAGACCCUUCCUGAGGGCCGAGCAACAGUGUAGUGGCGUAUUCCACAUAGCAAACAGGCAGCAUUUCUUCCUGUGACAAUAUGGUGUAAGACAAAAUUGUGGCCUGCCAUGAAGUUGUGAGAGAAAAGCAUCCCUCAUUUCUUCAGGAAAGGCCACUGCCGUUCCCUCCGGCUCCUCUUCUCAGGAGUUUGUGCAUUCAUGAGGUGAAUUCCUUGGAAGAUGAGGGCCAAGUCUUAUUCUUCUCAGUCUCUUCUGCAUCUAGCAGAAGAAUAAUGGUUGCACAGAAAAUCUUGGUUCAGUGGUUGAGUGAAUGAAUGGAUGAACAGGCUCUUGCACACAAAGAAGAGACAUGAUGUAUUUGCAUCCUUCCCUGCUUCAGCCAGUUUUCUGAAGCUCAGAGGGACACCUUGUAUUGCUGGAUGAUAAAAACAGGAGCAAAGUGAUGAAGUGCUGACAAGGCAACAAUAGAACAUGAGAGAUUCACUGCUGUGUAGGAAGAGAUCUUCGGUGACCAUGUAGCCUGAAGCUCUCAUUUUGUCAUCGAGGGACACCAAAACUCAGAACAGAUAGAGUCUUGCUCUGUGACCCAGGCUUGUGUGCAGCGGUACGAUAUUGGCUCACUGCGACCUCCACCUCCCAGGUUCAAGCAAUUCUCCUGCCUCAG